rnacentral:rRNA from 1 species
AUUGAACGCUGGCGGCAUGCCUUACACAUGCAAGUCGAACGGUAACAGGUCUUCGGAUGCUGACGAGUGGCGAACGGGUGAGUAAUACAUCGGAACGUGCCUAGUAGUGGGGGAUAACUACUCGAAAGAGUGGCUAAUACCGCAUGAGAUCUACGGAUGAAAGCAGGGGAUCGCAAGACCUUGUGCUACUAGAGCGGCCGAUGGCAGAUUAGGGAGUUGGUGGGAUAAAAGCUUACCAAGCCGACGAUCUGUAGCUGGUCUGAGAGGACGAUCAGCCACACUGGGACUGGGACACGGCCCAGACUCCUACGGGAGGCAGCAGGGGGGAAUUUUGGACAAUGGGCGAAAGCCUGAUCCAGCAAUGCCGCGUGCAGGAUGAAGGCCUUCGGGUUGUAAACUGCUUUUGUACGGAACGAAAAGCCCCGGGUUAAUACCCUGGGGUCAUGACGGUACCGUAAGAAUAAGCACCGGCUAACUACGUGCCAGCCGCCGCAGUAA